rnacentral:lncRNA from 1 species
UAAAAGAAGAUUGUGUAUUUUGUAUUUAUUUUUUUAGGAAACUCAGAGAUUUCUACCUUCAUGAAAGGCCCAUGUAUUCUCCUAGAGAGCCUGAAGUCUCCACUAAACCCAUUCUUCUGUUUAGAGGCUUAAAGCCCUGAAGUUGGUGUCUCUGCUUAGAAGAACAAGUGUGAUUCUGUCACCCUUCUUGGGGCAGGAGACCUUUAAGUGUGUUUUGUACAACCCCACACACAUCAGGUAGGCAGGGACCUACUGGACCAUCUGUGGGUUCCCUGUGUGCACAGGUCAUAAGUUCUCACAUUGUUUCCAGGUGCCUGCAGUUCCAAGGCAUUGGUUUGGAUGGCAGGUUGCAGUUUCCUUUUCUGCAUAGAAUGCAGAUGAAGCUUUUGCUGUGUCUUAACAGGCAUCAGAUGCUGCAACUUGAGAGCCUAACUACUUCUUCGCUUUACUGUAUAGAAUGAUCAGCCUUCACCUUUGCUUGGCCUCCAGUAGCACAGCAACAUUACUCCUCUAGGCAUCAAAAAGGUAAUUAAUGCCCUUCAACCUCUUAAUGCUUUUU